GAUGAACGCUAGCUACAGGCUAAACACAUGCAAGUCGAGGGGAAACGAUAUUGGAAGCUUGCUUCCGAUAGGCGUCGACCGGCGCACGGGUGAGUAACGCGUAUCCAACCUGCCCACCACUUGGGGAUAACCUUGCGAAAGUAAGACUAAUACCCAAUGAUAUCUCUAGAAGACAUCUGAAGGAGAUUAAAGAUUUAUCGGUGAUGGAUGGGGAUGCGUCUGAUUAGCUUGUUGGCGGGGUAACGGCCCACCAAGGCGACGAUCAGUAGGGGUUCUGAGAGGAAGGUCCCGCACAUUGGAACUGAGAUACGGUCCAAACUCCUACGGGAGGCAGCAGUGAGGAAUAUUGGUGAAUGGGCGAGAGCCUGAACCAGCCAAGUAGCGUGCAGGAUGACGGCCCUAUGGGUUGUAAACUGCUUUUAUAAGGGAAUAAAGUGAGCCUCGUGAGGCUUUUUGCAUGUACCUUAUGAAUAAGGACCGGCUAAUUCCGUGCCAGCAGCCGCGGUAA
rnacentral:rRNA from 1 species